UAACGCGUGGGAAACCUGCCCUGUACCGGGGGAUAACACUUAGAAAUAGGUGCUAAUACCGCAUAAGCGCACGGAACUGCAUGGUUCUGUGUGAAAAACUCCGGUGGUACAGGAUGGUCCCGCGUCUGAUUAGCCAGUUGGCAGGGUAACGGCCUACCAAAGCGACGAUCAGUAGCCGGCCUGAGAGGGUGAACGGCCACAUUGGGACUGAGACACGGCCCAAACUCCUACGGGAGGCAGCAGUGGGGAAUAUUGCACAAUGGGGGAAACCCUGAUGCAGCGACGCCGCGUGAGUGAAGAAGUAUUUCGGUAUGUAAAGCUCUAUCAGCAGGGAAGAAAAUGACGGUACCUGACUAAGAAGCCCCGGCUAACUACGUGCCAGCAGCCGCGGUAAUACGUAGGGGGCAAGCGUUAUCCGGAUUUACUGGGUGUAAAGGGAGCGUAGACGGCAUGGCAAGCCAGAUGUGAAAACCCAGGGCUCAACCUUGGGAUUGCAUUUGGAACUGCCAGGCUGGAGUGCAGGAGAGGUAAGCGGAAUUCCUAGUGUAGCGGUGAAAUGCGUAGAUAUUAGGAGGAACACCAGUGGCGAAGGCGGCUUACUGGACUGUAACUGACGUUGAGGCUCGAAAGCGUGGGGAGCAAACAGGAUUAGAUACCCUGGUAGUCCACGCGGUAAACGAUGAUUGCUAGGUGU
rnacentral:rRNA from 1 species